UCUGAAAUUCUCAGAAGGAAUUAAAAGACUGCGGAAGACAAAAGGGUCAGGAAGCGCCCGCGGGUCUCGAACCCCAGAAGAGGGAUUGGAAGUCAGACAUGACUUGACGCGAAGUAACCGCUGAGCUGAAGCCGACCCGCGGGAGUGGUGCUUCUAGAAACCUCUAAACUAUAGUGGAGUGACGUGGAGGGGCCGGGCUGCAGAUGCUCCACGCCUUCGGGCUGUUUAUGUCACCCGGUCCGCCUGCUCCCUGCUGCUGCGCCCCUGAUCAGAGCUGGUCGGAGGAGUCACGGAAGGCCUCUCGGUGCCGCCGCCCCAGCUCUGCCAGCAACGCAGAUAAAAGGGACCGGGAAUCCGUGGCGGGAGCAGAGACCUCUAAUCGUGGUCAGAGCGCCCCUGAGCAGACGCGGGUAGUCCAAGGCCUUCCAUAAAAUCGCCCACGAGCAGCUGCGAGCUUGCCAAGGGCUGAGACCCGCUCACUUCAUUACUGUGCCAGGCCCUGGGCUGGGCCCUGGGGACACGGAGUUCGUGAUCAACGAGUGGUUGUUUGGAUGGGGCGGGCCUGCUACAGCACCUGGCAGUGGGGAGCGCUCAGCAUUUGUGGAAUGAAUGGAUCAGUGAGUAAAUAAAUGACACUAACAAGCAGGAGUAGGACGGACGGAGCAGGACAGAUGCUGAAAGCUAGCAGAGGGUAAAGCAGGGGGUUGGCUCCCUUUCCCUUUAGAUGCCCUUCCGUGAUCAACAAGAAAACAUUUUCCCAGCUUUGAUUGUGAUGAAAACACCCAUCAACUGGGUCGAACAAGGAGCAGUGCAUCCCUACAAUGCAGUGCAAUGCAGCAGUGAACAAAAAUGGCACCAGUUCCCACAAACCAAUAUGGAAAGAUGCCC